AGCUCCAAUAGCGUAUAUUAAUAUUGUUGCAGCUGAAAAGCUCGUAGUUGGAUUUCUGCUUGGCGCGGCAGGUCUGCCUUUGGGUGUGUACUUGUCGCGUUGAGCAUUCAUGCCUUCUUGGCCACUGCACUUAAGUGUGUGGGGUUGAGGGGCAGCUUCCACGUGGAGAAAAUUAGAGUGUUCCAAGCAGGCGUUAGCCCUGAAUACCACAGCCUCGUAUGGAAUGAUAAGUCGUGGAUCGCGUCUUAUCGGUUCUCGGGAUCUACGGAAUGAUUAAUAGGGAUAGUUGGGGGCAUUCGUAUUUAACUGUCAGAGGUGAAAUUCUUGGAUUUGUUAAAGACGAACUACUGCGAAAGCAUUUGCCAAGGAUGUUUUCA
rnacentral:rRNA from 1 species